AGAACCAAAAAAAAAAAAAAAAAAUUCAAAAGAAAAAGAAAAUAGACUGGCCUCCUUCCCUUGAUAAUUUUCCGGGUGAACUCAAAUACCCUGGCCUGCCACACCCAACGCAGACUGAGCAAUUUCACUUCCCGGUCCCCUGGGUGGGUGGCACCCGGCACAGUGGUGGAACAUUCCAACACCCACACACUAAACGCUUCUGUUCUGGAACAGUUGUGGUAACCCUCUGCGAACCUGAGGCUUGAGGCCUGAAGCCUGGAAAAAGUCCGGCCUGGCUGGAGCCUGCAGCAUGGCCUGGCUGGGGCCUACACUGUGACCUGACUGGGGCCUGCAUUGUGGCCUGACUGGGGCCUGCAGCAUGGCCUGGCUGGGGCCUACACUGUGGCCUGACUGGGGCCUGUAGCAUGGCCUGACUGGGGCCUACACUGUGGCCUGGCUGGGGCCUGCAGCAUAGCCUGGCUGGGGCCUACACUGUGGCCUGACUGGGGCCUGCAGCAUGGCCUGACUGGGGCCUAUGCUGUGGCCUGGCUGGGGCCUACACUGUGGCCUGACUGGGGCCUGCAGCAUGGCCUGACUGGGGCCUGCAGCAUGGCCUGGCUGGGGCCUGUAGCAUGGCCUGGCUGGGGCCUGCACUGUGGCCUGACUGGGGCCUGUAGCAUGGCCUGACUGGGGCCUACACUGUGGCCUGUCUGGGGCCUGCACUAUGGCCUGACUGGGGCCUGCAGCAUGGCCUGACUGGGGCCUACACUGUGGCCUGACUGGGGCCUGCAGCAUGGCCUGACUGGGGCCUACACUGUGGCCUGACUGGGGCCUGCAGCAUGGCCUGGCUGGGGCCUGCACUGUGGCCUGACUGGGGCCUGCAGCAUGGCCUGACUGGGGCCUACACUGUGGCCUGACUGGGGCCUGCAGCAUGGCCUGGCUGGGGCCUGCACUGUGGCCUGAAUGGGGCCUGCAGCAAGGCCUGGCUGGGGCCUACACUGUGGCCUGACUGGGGGCUGCAACAUGGCCUGGCUGGGGCCUGCACUGUGGCCUGACUGGGGCCUGCAGCAUGGCCUGACUGGGGCCUACACUGUGGCCUGACUGGGGCCUGCAGCAUGGCCUGGCUGGGGCCUGCACUGUGGCCUGAAUGGGGCCUGCAGCAAGGCCUGGCUGGGGCCUACACUGUGGCCUGACUGGGGGCUGCAGCAUGGCCUGACUGGGGCCUACACUGUGGCCUGGCUGGGGCCUGCACUGUGGCCUGGCUGGGGCCUGCAGCAAGGCCUGGCUGGGGCCUACACUGUGGCCUGGCUGGGGCCUGCACUGUGGCUUGACUGGGGCCUGCAGCAAGGCCUGGCUGGGGCCUACACUGUGGCCUGACUGGGGCUUGCAGCAUGGCCUGACUGGGGCCUACACUGUGGCCUGGCUGGGGCCUGCACUAUGGCCUGACUGGGGCCUGCAGCAUGGCCUGGCUGGGGCCUACACUGUGACCUGACUGGGGCCUGCAGCAUGGCCUGACUGGAGCCUACGCUGUGGCCUGGCUGGGGCCUACACUGUGGCCUGACUGGGGCCUGCAGCAUGGCCUGGCUGGGACCUACAUUGUGGCCUGGCUGGGGCCUACACUGUGGUCUGACUGGGGCCUGCAGCAUGGCCUGGCUGGAGCCUACACUGUGGCCUGACUGGGACCUGCAGCAAGGCCUGGCUGGGGCCUACACUGUAGCCUGGCUGGGGUCUGCAGCAUGGCCUGGCUGGGGCCUGCACUAUGGCCUGACUGGGGCCUGCAGCAUGGCCUGGCUGGGGCCUACAUUGUGGCCUGACUGGGGCCUACACUGUGGUCUGACUGGGGCCUGCAGCAUGGCCUGGCUGGAGCUUACACUGUGGCCUGACUGGGACCUGCAGCAAGGCCUGGCUGGGGCCUGCACUGUAGCCUGGCUGGGGCCUGCACUGUGGCCUUCCUGGGGCCUGCAGUGUGGCCUGGCUGGGGACAGCACCUAUGUUGUCAUGCAUCUGGCUACGGCUGCAGGCCCGGGGUCUUAACCCUUCAGAGGAGGACAAGCUCACAGGCUUCUUGCCUGUCUAUGGGGACUAUGACUUAGAAACCUAUACCAGUCACAGUUCUGUGACACCCUCCUCUUGCACUAGAAAGAACAGGCCUUUCUAUUCGUGGGGGUCAAGGAGGGCGCAGAUAGUCUAGAAGCAGAGCCGGAGAGGUCUGAGGGAAGUAGAGCCUCUAGCAGGUUGAAGCCUGGGGUGCUUCCAGGAGAGGCCUUAGGAAAACUUCUAGGUGUGAGGCUGGGUUCUGGUCAAGUUUGACAGGGUCCGAGGCAGCCCUGAAGCGGUUGUCCCUGAGGCGGUGUCACAGCACUGUGUUUUGCUCACGGCAGACUUGUGUAGUUGAGAAAGCUAGAACAGCAGAACUCAGUGUUUUCUCCAUGAGUGUCUGCUUGCUCCUGGGGGCGUGUGGGGAGGAAGAAGCAGUAGCUGACAGGGUGACUGCCUACCCUGGGAGGGGAAUAGGGAGCUGUAACUGUUCUCACUGGCAGGCGAGAGGACUGAGUUUGAGAGAAUGCAAGCUGCCGGGGCAGCUGUACCAGGUAGCCAUCUUGAGCCCGUGUGUGAUGCUCCACUGACUGACUCUUGCCUGAUAGGCCCACAGAUCUGGUAAAUGAGGCAAGGUGCCUUGUGCACGGCAGAGGCCAAGUAGACAGAUCUGAGCUGUGCAGACUACAGGAUGGGGGACACAGAUAGAGCUAGAAAGUGGCCAGGACUCUGAGGCUUAGCACAGGUCCAAGACCCAGAUCUUAGUCUGGGCCAAGCUCGGGGACAGUCCUGUGUCCCCUCCUCCCCACUGGACCAUUGUCACCUGGGUCAGACUCAGGGCUGAUGGAUGACCCCCUUCUAAUAGACUAACCCUCGGUGACUUGUGUCUCUCAUGCCAUGUGGCUUUCUGUAAGUUACAUGAUAUAGGAUAGGUGGGCAGGGACUACAGGACAGAAGUACAGCUCUGACAAAGCUCAGCUCUUUGUCCCCAAGCCAUGACUCUGGGUCCCCCUGGGUGUCUUUACUUGGCCUGGCCUGGCUGGAUCAUAUCUGGGGUCAUGGUCCUGUCUUCUUGGUUUGUCUUUUAGUCACUCUCUGGUCUUCUAUGGGGACCCUGAGUUUGCCCAGAUCCCUCAAACAGAGUUCAGAGGCUGACAUCAUGUUUUCAUAGAGUACCCUCUGGUGUGGAAACCCACAGAGAUGUUGCUUGCUGCUCAUGACGAAGAGAGAAGAGCUUGAGGCCAAAGCACACAGGACACCUGCUCCCAGGGCUUCCUGCUUUCCUGCCUUCUGGAGGACCUCACUGAAGUCACCCACUGCCAUCCCUGCCACCCCUGCAUCCACAAGGCUCUGAUGAUGGGAAACCCCAGUGAGGAGCAGCAGCUGGCUCGAGCCACACCCUGUCCAUGGCUCUGUGACUCCUGAUGUGAAGUGCCCUGAGAACAGCCGCCCUCACAGCCCCAGCACCAUUCUCUUUAAGAACAGACCUCAGAAACACGCACGAUCUCCCUGAGCUGAGGGCACCUGUGCACUCAAGGCCCCCAAAGGAUGUGCUGAAUGGCAAAGGUCAAAAUCUUGGUCAUGGGCCAAGAAAGGGUAAAGUAUCAACCGUGAGGGAGGCACCAGGGGCACAGUGACAAGACCAGACCUCGAGCAAAGGCCAUUCUUGAUGCUACCAAGUAGGCACGCCCAGGGCUACAGACUGCCACAGCUACACGGUCAUGCUGUUUGCCCAGCGUCUUCUGUGGGUAGAGACAGAUUACAGAGGUGAGACAUCCCGAAUGGAUACACACUUCAGAGAACGUUCCAGAAUGCCUGGAAGGAGGGAGUAUCCUAACAGACUCCUGAGGCCUGUCCAGGGCUUCCCUGCUGGGCUGGAGUGUGGGCAGGGGCAACAUGGUCGGGCGGGGCUUGGCUCGGCUCUGCAGAUCCGAUGUGCACAGAGCGGCUGCUCCUCACCAAAUCACUGCGGGUUUCAGAAACAGUCCACGUACCUGUAAUGUUUAAAGAAGCACAAAGGGGUUGGGGAUUUAGCUCAGUGGUGAGCGCUUGCCUAGCAAGUGCAAGACUCUGGGUUUGGUCCCCAGCUCCAAAGGGGGAAAAAAAAAAAGAAGCACAGAAAAUCCUGUUAAAUCUGUUUAAUGGCACAGGAGGAAGCAGUGACACAGUGACAGGUGAGUGCCCUCCCUGAGUAGCUCAUCACAAACCCCCAUCUCUCCAUCUUCCUCUGUGUUCAAACUGUGUUCUCGGAGGUUCCUUUCUUCAUCCCUCUAAGGGGAGCAGGGCUCAACCUUCAGACACAGGUCUCCAAGCAGCCCUGGGAAGGCUUAAGGUGCAUGUGUGCACAUGUGUGAGCAUGUCUGUCCAUGUGCAUGUGGUAAGCGUGUACAUGGCAUGUGUGUGUGUGUGUGUGUGUGUGUGUGUGUGUGUGGUGUGCAUGCAUGUAGUGUGUGAGUGGAGUAUAGUGUGUGUGCACGCAUGGGGUGGGGGCUGACUUGCCACAGCUGGCUUCAUUCAUCUCUGAGUUUCUGCAUCGCCGAGACUGUCCCCCUGCUAAAGGAGACAUUGCAGCUUGAAAUGAGACUUCACUGAUUUAUCUCCCCAAACCCUGGAUACAAUUCUCUGCUACUUCCAAUUUAUUGUUUAAAUAAGUUGAUGUGUUUAAUGCAAUGCUUUAAACGUGACAUUUAAACAAACCGAUCGAUCUCACACGAGUUUUCCUGGGUUACAUGUUAGGUUUGCUCUGUCCCUCCAGGAGCAUCAGCAGCCUGGGAUAGCAGUGGACCAUCCGCUUUUCUCCUCCUGCAGCCAUUCCCACAGCCUAGAUUCCAGUUUGCAUUAGACUGGCUUCAGAUUCUCGCCAUGCCACUGCACAGAGAUCCACCUGCCUGUCUCCCGGGCGCUGGGGUGAAAGGUGUGUGUCACCGACCCCUGAGUGACACCACUUUUUUGUCCUUUGUUUUUGGCACCACUUUUUAGUAGCUUAGUUGGGUUGUGGUCGACAUGUAACACAGCGCACGAGUUUAAGGUGUGCACCCCAGAGCUAAUGAGGUGGUUCAGAGCUGAAAACCGCUUGCUAUGCAAGUCCGACGCUCUGAGCUGGAUCCCUGCAACCCACAGUGGAAGAAAGAAAUGACUACCGAAAGCUAUCCUCCGACUUCUCCAUGUGCACAUGUGUACCCUCCUCUGUCCUUCUCUGUCUGUCUGUCUCUCUCUCUAUCAACAACAACAAAACAACAGUAACAACUGAAAAAAAAAUCAUGUAUCAGUUCCAGAGUCUGACUAGUCACAAAUCCUUUGCUGCUGUCCAGUCCCUGAUAAAGUCACCCUCCGGGAUCUUUCUCCUGUCAUUCUAUCCACUGUCCUACCUGUGCUGGCUACUUUUAUAUUUACUUUACCCAAGCUAGAUUCAGUGACAGAGGAGAAAGCCUCAACUGAGAAAAUGCCCCCAUAAGAACAGGCUACAGACAAGCCCGCAGGGCACUUUCUUAAUUAGUGAUCAAUGGGGGAGGGCCCAGCCCACUGUGGGCGGUGUCACCCCUGGGCUGGUGGUUCUGGGAUCUAUAAGAAAGCAGGCUGAUUGAGCCACAGGGAGCAUGCCAGUAAGCAGCGCCCCUCCAUGGCCUCUGCAUCAGCUCCUGCCUCCAGGGCUCUUCACUGAACUCCUGCCCUGACUUCCAAAUAAACCCUCCCCUUCCUGAGUUGCUUUUGGUCAUGGUGCUACUUCACAACGAUACUGACCCCAAGUAAGACACUUCCACAUGUCACUUUCUCCUAUCCAGAUGCACACUAACAUGUGAGUCUGUCUGCCUGCCCAUCUGUGUGUGUGUGUGUGUGUGUGUGUGUGUGUGUGUGUGUGUGUGAAUGCAUGAGUGUCUGCACUGUGGCAGGUGUGUGGAGGUCAGAGGACCUCAGGUGUCAGCUGUCAGUCAGGUGUCAGUCCUUGCCUUCCCCCCUGUUUGAGGCACUGUCUCUGUGACUCUUUUCUUUCUUUUUUCUUUUUUUUUCUCUUUCUUUUUUUUUUUUUCUAUUUUCGGAGCUGGGGA